GACGAACGCUGGCGGCGUGCUUAACACAUGCAAGUCGAACGGAAAGGCCCUGCUUUUGUGGGGUGCUCGAGUGGCGAUCGGGUGAUUAACAAGUGAGUAGCCUGCCCUGGAUAACGGGAUAAUUUGAGGAAACUGGGGCUAGUACCGGAUAGGUGCUCCUGCUGCAUGGAGGUUGAUGGAAUGUUCGGGCGGUUGGGGAUGGAUCCGCGGCUUAUGAGCUUGUUGGUGGGGUAGUGGUUUACCAAGGCUCUGACGGGUAGGCGGCCGGAGAGGGUGACCGGCCACAUAGGGACUGAGAGACAGCCCAGACUGAUACGGGAGGCAGGAGUGAGGGAGAUUGCACGAUGGGCGGAAGCAUGAUGCAGCAACGCCGCGUGCGGGAAGACGGACGUCGGGUUGUAAGCCGCUUUCGCCUGUGACGGAGCGUGAGUGACGGUAGUGAGUAAGGAAGCAACGGCUAACUACGUG
rnacentral:rRNA from 1 species